GACGAACGCUGGCGGCGUGCCUAAUACAUGCAAGUUGAGCGAUGAAGCUUGGUGCUUGCCCCAAUUUGAAGAGCAGCGCACGGGUGAGUAACGCGUGGGGAAUCUGCCUUUGAGCGGGGGACAACAUUUGGAAACGAAUGCUAAUACCGCAUAACAACUUUAAACAUAAGUUUUAAGUUUGAAAGAUGCAAUUGCAUCACUCAAAGAUGAUCCCGCGUUGUAUUAGCUAGUUGGUGAGGUAAAGGCUCACCAAGGCGAUGAUACAUAGCCGACCUGAGAGGGUGAUCGGCCACAUUGGGACUGAGACACGGCCCAAACUCCUACGGGAGGCAGCAGUAGGGAAUCUUCGGCAAUGGACGAAAGUCUGACCGAGCAACGCCGCGUGAGUGAAGAAGGUUUUCGGAUCGUAAAACUCUGUUGGUAGAGAAGAACGUUGGUGAGAGUGGAAAGCUCAUCAAGUGACGGUAACUACCCAGAAAGGGACGGCUAACUACGUG
rnacentral:rRNA from 1 species